GUCUUCGGCAGCCUGGCGGGGCGCGCGGCGCUCGGGUGCUCCUCUAGGCAGCUCUUCAGAAUUAGCAUCGGAAUAUAUUUUUACGCUGUCUUCGUGUUUUGUCGUUUACAAAAAGAAAGGAACCUGAGGAGCGCGGCGUCCGUGGAGCAAGGCCUCGAUGCUACGGCUGCUCUCGGGGGAAGAGCUGCCCGCCCUCCCGGCCCGACCGGCCCCGGGAGCUUCGGCUUCGUGGACCGAGGCCCCCCGCCGCACCUGCCUGUGGGAUCACGCCUGAAACAUGCUGGCUGCCCUCGCCCGCCCCCCCGGCGCUGGCUGUUGAAGGUAUGCUGUAACUCCAUAGCUGAAUUAUUGGGAUGGAAGUUCUGUGCUGUAUCUAGGAAAAUACYGAUUUCUACUUUAGUUCAGCGCCCCAGUCGUGAAGCUGUCUCUGCGCUGUCCUGGGGACAACUGGGACAAUUUGUUAUUACUGUGAUUAGAAAUGCUCCUUGCUUGGAAGGAAACACUUAGCAAGUCUGGCAAAGAGACUGCUUAGCCCUUUCAUGGAAGAUUUCUUCAGAUGCAAAGCAGCUCCAAGGGAGACSUUCUGUUCUUUCAGAAUAACUGGACCCACUGGCAGGAAGCAGCUACGCUGAGCACCAAACAAGGAAACCACUUCCCAGUUAUCAAAACAUGCUGUUGAACUAAAUUUUGCAGCU
rnacentral:lncRNA from 1 species